rnacentral:rRNA from 1 species
CACAUGACUCUCGGCAACGGAUAUCUCGGCUCUUGCAUCGAUGAAGAACGUAGCAAAAUGCGAUACCUGGUGUGAAUUGCAGAAUCCCGUGAACCAUCGAGUUUUUGAACGCAAGUUGCGCCCAAGGCCGUCUGGUCGAGGGCACGUCUGCCUGGGCGUCACGC